GACCAGACUCCUACGGGAGGCAGCAGUGGGGAAUAUUGGACAAUGGGGGAAACCCUGAUCCAGCGACGCCGCGUGAGUGAAGAAGUAUUUCGGUACGUAAAGCUCUAUCAGCAGGAAAGAAAAUGACGGUACCUGACUAAGAAGCCCCGGCUAACUACGUGCCAGCAGCCGCGGUAAUACGUAGGGGGCAAGCGUUAUCCGGAUUUACUGGGUGUAAAGGGAGCGUAGGCGGUAGUGCAAGUCAGAAGUGAAAGCCCGGGGCUCAACUCCGGGACUGCUUUUGAAACUGUGUUACUAGAUUGCAGGAGAGGUAAGUGGAAUUCCUAGUGUAGCGGUGAAAUGCGUAGAUAUUAGGAGGAACACCAGUGGCGAAGGCGGCUUACUGGACUGUAAAUGACGCUGAGGCUCGAAAGCGUGGGGAGCAAACAGGAUUAGAUACCCUCGUA
rnacentral:rRNA from 1 species